rnacentral:rRNA from 1 species
GAACUGAAGAGUUUGAUCAUGGCUCAGAUUGAACGCUGGCGGUAUGCUUAACACAUGCAAGUCGAACGGUAACAGCAGAGCUUGCUCUGGCUGACGAGUGGCGGACGGGUGAGUAACGCGUGGGAAUCUGCCUUAGAGUGGGGAAUAGCCCGGAGAAAUCCGGAUUAAUGCCGCAUAAUACUACGGUUGAAAGGGGGCCUCUUCUUGAAAGCUCUCGCUCUAAGAUGAGCCCGCGUUAGAUUAGCUAGUUGGUAGGGUAAAGGCCUACCAAGGCGACGAUCUAUAGCUGGUCUGAGAGGACGAUCAGCCACACUGGGACUGAGACACGGCCCAGACUCCUACGGGAGGCAGCAGUGGGGAAUAUUGGACAAUGGGCGCAAGCCUGAUCCAGCAAUACC